rnacentral:rRNA from 1 species
UGAUGACGAGACGCUAAGGCGUUGAAGCAGUGUAUGUCAGACUUCCAAGAAAAGCUCGCAAUGUCACUAAUAAAAAAUGCCUGUACCAUAACCGACACAGGUGGGUAGGUAGAGUAUACUAAGGGGCGCGAGAUAACUCUCUCUAAGGAACUCGGCAAAAUGACUCCGUAACUUCGGGAGAAGGAGUGCCUUAUUUAUAAGGUUGCAAUAACAAGAUCCUAGCAACUGUUUAUCAAAAACACAGGUCUCCGCUAAGUCGUAAGACGAUGUAUGGGGGCUGACGCCUGCCCAGUGCCAGAAGGUUAAAGAAGUUGUUAGUGUAUGCGAAGCUGAUGACUGAAGCCCUGGUGAACGGCGGCCGUAACUAUAACGGUCCUAAGGUAGCGAAAUUCCUUGUCGGGUAAGUUCCGACCCGCACGAAAGGCGUAAUGAUUUGGAUACUGUCUCGGAGAGAGGCUCGGUGAAAUAGACUUGUCUGUGAAGAUGCGGACUACCUGCACCAGGACAGAAAGACCCUAUGAAGCUUUACUGUAACUUGAAAUUGGAAUUGGACUUUGCUUGCGCAGUAUAGGUGGGAAGCGUUGAAAAUAUUCUUGCGGGAGUAUUGGAGCUAUCAGUGAGAUACCACUCUUGUAAUGUUAGAUUUCUAACUUUGAACCAUAAUCUGGUCAAAGAACAGUUUCAGGUGGGCAGUUUGACUGGGGCGGUCGCCUCCCAAAUGGUAACGGAGGCGUACAAAGGUUUCCUCUGAACGGAUAGAAAUCGUAUCUAGAGUGUAAAGGCAUAAGGAAGCUUGACUGUGAGACCUACAAGUCGAGCAGGGACGAAAGUCGGUCUUAGUGAUCUGACGGUACUGAGUGGAAAGGCCGUCACUCAACGGAUAAAAGUUACUCUAGGAUAACAGGCUGAUCUCCCCCAAGAGUUCACAUCGACGGGGAGGUUUGGCACCUCGAUGUCGGCUCAUCGCAUCCUGGGGCGGUAGUACGUCCCAAGGGUUGGGCUGUUCGCCCAUGAAAGCGGUACGCGAGCUGGGUUCAGAACGUCGUGAGACAGUUCGGUCCAUAUCCGGUGUAGGCGCUAGAAUAUUGAGAGGAGCCUUCUUUAGUACGAGAGGACCGAGAAGGACACACCGCUGGUGUACCAGUUAUCGUGCCAACGGUAAACGCUGGGUAGCUAUGUGUGGAGUGGAUAACCGCUGAAAGCAUCUAAGUGGGAAGCCCACCUCGAGAUGAG